CCUACGGGGGGCUGCAGUGGGGAAUAUUGGACAAUGGGGGCAACCCUGAUCCAGCCAUGCCGCGUGUGUGAAGAAGGCCCUCGGGUUGUAAAGCACUUUCAGUGAGGAAGAACGCCUGGUGGUUAAUACCCAUCAGGAAAGACAGCACUCACAGAAGAAGCACCGGCUAACUCCGUGCCAGCAGCCGCGGUAAUACGGAGGGUGCGAGCGUUAAUCGGAAUUACUGGGCGUAAAGCGCGCGUAGGUGGCUUGAUAAGCCGGUUGUGAAAGCCCCGGGCUCAACCUGGGAACGGCAUCCGGAACUGUCAAGCUAGAGUGCAGGAGAGGAAGGUAGAAUUCCCGGUGUAGCGGUGAAAUGCGUAGAGAUCGGGAGGAAUACCAGUGGCGAAGGCGGCCUUCUGGACUGACACUGACACUGAGGUGCGAAAGCGUGGGUAGCAAACAGGAUUAGAUACCCCAGUAGUC
rnacentral:rRNA from 1 species